AUACAGUUGACGAGUCCGAAAUAAGACGAAACGCGCGUCCUGUAU
rnacentral:hammerhead_ribozyme from 1 species